ACUGUUACAAAUAUCAAACCAGUAAGAUGGAAUAAAUUUAAAAAAAACCUGUAGGGCAAUCUUAUUUAAAAAUAUAUGUAAAAAUGGAAUGGGGCUCAAUCUGUAUUCAGGAAGCCCUGAUAAGGGACAACUGUCACACUUAACACAACACAAAUGAUAUUGUGACCUCAUGACAUUAAAGUGAUUUGUUCAAGUCCUACAUAUUGUAAAAGUCUGCAUCAGAAUCUAAAAAUGCUGAUAUCCAAUCCUAAGAUUUUCAAAUAAGCCAUCCAUAUUAGUCCAUUUUCACACUGCUGAUAAAGACAUAUCUGAAACUGGGAAGAAAAAGAGGUUUAAUUGGACUUACAGUUCCACAUAGCUGGGGAGGCCUCAGAAUCAUGGUGGGAGGCAACAGGCACUUCUUACAUGGUGACAAUAAGAGAAAAAUUAGGAGGAAGCAAAAGCAGAAAUCCCUGAUAAACCCAUCACAUCUCAUGAGAAUUAAUCACUAUCAAGAGAGUAGCACCAGAAAGACUGGUCCCCAUGAUGCAAUUUCCUCCUCCUGGGUCCCUCCCACAACACGUGGGCAUUCUGGGAGAUACAAUUCAAGUUGAGAUUUGAUGGGAACACAGCCAAAUUAUAUCACCACCUUUUUCUAUUUUAUGAUUGGAUCAGUUAGGAUAAUAUCUGCUGCUAUCACAAACCAACUCACAAACUGAAAGAUUUACCCCAAUUAAAGUUGAUUGUUGCUCUCCUACACCAACAAAUACUGAUAGGUUUCCACCUGGGUAUCGAGGCCCACUGACAUCAUGCAGCAUGUGGCUCUCCCAUUCUCUAGGGCCUACUUUGAGUGCUUUGCAGUCAGCCGAGAGAAAGAGAAACAGAGUAAAGGGUAUUUGUGAGAAAAAGAUCAACAGAUAUUUUGCCUUGGAGUAAAUGACAACAGAAGGCAGAGAGAAGAAGUGACUGACCAAACCUUCAUAGUAAGUUAACGCCUUUGUUGUUGUUGUCGUUGUUGUUAGCUCACAUGCUCGUUUACUACUCUAAUUCAGUAGUUUUUAAACUUGAGCAGCAAGCAUCAGAAUCACCUGGAGGGUUUGUUUAAACACCAUCUUCUGGGUCCCAAUUCCACAGUUUCUGAGAUGGUAGGUUUGAGUGGGGCCUGAGGAUUUACAAUUCUACAUGUUUAGGUAAUGCUGACAUAGUUGCUUUAGGUACCACUCUUUCAGAAACCCCGACUGAAUUGCUUACUUGCUCAAUCUAAUUGUUGAAUGAGAUGUAGCAAGCAAUAAGUGGUUUCUGCUUUUCCUGGUUGCCCCUUCUGAGUGACAUCUUUGAACCAGGUGUUUGAUAAUUCGAAUUCUAAAUUUUACAACUACAGCUAUAAGAUCUACAACCAUAAGAUCUGUGCUCUUUUCACUGAAUCAUAUAUUUAUUUUUGAAAAACAGAUAUCAUUAGAGCUUAAAUCAACAUUUUGUAAUAAUUUAGUGAAAGAAUAAGAGAAGUCAAAUUUCCAGCAUUUUGAGAAUAAGGAAUGGUUAUGGCCAGUAUGUGUCUAUUUUUCACAGUUCUGGAGGCUCAGAAGUCAAAGAUCAAGGUGUCCAUAGAAUCACUCUCUGAGGUGGGUCCUUUUUUUGGUUUGCCACAGCCUCCUUCUUGGUGUGUCUUCACGUAGUGGAGACAAAGGGACGGCAAGCUCUCUGAUCUCUUCUUAUAAGAGUGCUAAUUAUCUUAUGGAGAAUUCACCCUCAUGACCUCAUCUAAACCUAAUUACCUCCUAGAGGCCCCACCUCCAAAUGUCAUCAAAUUCAACAUACAAAUUUUGGGGGAACAAAAUUCAGUCUAUAGCACCUCAUAUCCAGUUUCUCAUACUAUUAACAACUUAGACUGAUAUGGUACUUUUGUCACAAUAUUGCUAUAUUAUUAUCAACUAAAAUUCAUAAUUUAUUAAUUUAUCUGUUUUUAUAAAAUAUUAUUUUUCUAUACCAAGAUCCCAUUCAUGGCAUCACAUUAAAUUUAGUCACCAUGGCUCAUUGGGUUCCUCUUGGCUCUGACAGUUUCUCAGACAUUUAUUAUUUUGAUGACCUUGGCAGUUGUCUGAGGCAUACCGUAUUUUGUAGAAUGUUCCUCAACUGCAGUUUAAUGGUUCUUGGUAUAUUUUGGAUACCAGUCCUUUAUCAGAUAUUUGAUUUACAAAGAUUUUUUCUCCCAUUCUAGGCUCUUUUGUUCUUUUUGUUUUGUUUUAUUUUGUUUUGAGAUAGGUUCUCCUAUGUUGCCCAGGUUGGAGAUCAGUUGCUAUUAAUAGGCAUGCUCUUAGUGCAUUACAGCCUGGAACUCUUGGCCUCAAGUGAUCCUCCUACCUCAGCCUCCCUAGUAGCUGGGACUAAAGGUACAUGCUACCAGAUGAAAAUUAGAAGUUCUAAAAAUAAGUUCAAUUUAUCAAAUUUUUUCUUUCAUGGAUCAUGUUUUUGGUGCUGUGUCUAAAAAGUCAUCAACAUAAUUACGGUAACUUAGAUUUUCCCAGAUACUACUAUCCUUGAGGAGUCUUGUAGUUUUAUAUUUUCCAUUUAUCUGUAUGUUCUAUUUUUACUUAAAUUUUCUGUAAAGUGAAAACUCUAUUGUCUAGGCAUGGUUUUUUUUUUGGUCCUCUUCCUCUCCUUCCUCCUCCUCGUCCUACUUCUUUCUUCUUCCUCUUCCUCUUCUUCCUUCUUCUUCCUUUUCUUCCUCUUCCUCUUUUUCCUUUUCCUCUUCUUCCUCCUUCCUCCUUCUUCUUCUAACUUAUUCCUUCUUUCCUCCUCCCCUCCUCCUCCUUCUUUCUUCUUCCUUCUUCUCUUCUUCUUCUUCUCCUCCUCCUCCUUCUCCUCUUCCUCUUCCUUUCUUCUUCUUCCCCUUCUUCUUCGCCUUUUUUUCCUUCUUCUUCCUUCUGCUUCUCCUUGUCCUCCUCCCCCUUCUUCUUCUUUGCAUGUGGAUGUCUGAUUUUUCUAGCACAAUUUUCUAGCACUUUAACAAGACCAGCCUUUCCACAUUCAAAUUCCAUGGAGCCUUUGUCAAAAAUCAGUUGACUACAUUGGUAUGGGUCUGGUGGAUCUGUUUCCAGGCUUUUUGCUCUUCCUGGAGUGGCUAUUCUUUCAUCAAUACCAUGCUGUUCUGUUUACUGCAGUUUUAUGGUAAGUCUUGAAAUCUAAUAGAGUCAGUCAUCUAACUUUGUUCUUCAGUAUUGUGCUGGCUCUCCUAGUUCUUUGUCUCUUUAUAUAAAUUUUAAAGUCAAUUUGUUGAUAUUUACAAAAUAAUUUGCUGUCCUUUUGAUAGAUUGUGUUGAAUCUACAGACAAAGUUAUGAAUAAUUGACAUCUUAAGAGCAUUGAAUUGUACAAUUCAU
rnacentral:lncRNA from 10 species